rnacentral:rRNA from 1 species
AUUGAACGCUGGCGGCAGGCUUAACACAUGCAAGUCGAGCGGAGCGAGGGUGCUUGCACCUUAGCUUAGCGGCGGACGGGUGAGUAAUGCUUAGGAAUCUGCCUAUUAGUGGGGGACAACAUUCCGAAAGGAAUGCUAAUACCGCAUACGCCCUACGGGGGAAAGCAGGGGAUCUUCGGACCUUGCGCUAACAGAUGAGCCUAAGUCGGAUUAGCUAGUUGGUGGGGUAAAGGCCUACCAAUACGACGAUCUGUAGCGGGUCUGAGAGGAUGAUCCGCCACACUGGGCCUGAGACACGGCCCAGACUCCUACGGGAGGCAGCAGUGGGGAAUAUUGGACAAUGGGCGGAAGCCUGAUCCAGCCAUGCCGCGUGUGUGAAGAAGGCCUUUUGGUUGUAAAGCACUUUAAGCGAGGAGGAGGCUACUUAGAUUAAUACUCUGGGAUAGUGGACGUUACUCGCAGAAUAAGCACCGGCUAACUCUGUGCCAGCCGCCGCCGUAAGAC